UAAAUGGUGAAACUGUAAUUGCUACGGGAAGUUGGACUGGGAUUUACGGUCUUCCACAAAAGGCUAACGGCAAACUGAUUAUUCUUCAGGUAAAUUAAAACAAAAACAAUCACGCAAGACUAGAGUUCGGCGAAAUGGGAGAAUGGCCAAUUCUUUACGAGGGAAAGUACUGAAUCUUUACAAAAACCUGCUGUACCUCGGAAGGGAGUACCCCAAGGGAGCAGACUACUUUAGAAGCCGUUUGAAAGCAGCUUUUCUAAAAAAUAAAGAUGUGAAAGAUCCCGAAAAAAUUAAACAACUAAUUGCCCGAGGCGAAUUUGUGAUAAAAGAGUUGGAGGCUUUGUACUUUCUCAGAAAAUACAGAGCAAUGAAACAGCGCUACUAUGAUAACAAGGAAUAACCAAACUAAGUAACAGUGGAGAUAGAACAGAAAUAAUCUUUGAAAUAUAGGCAUUGCUAGUUCAAGAACCAACACUCAAAGAAUACUGGCACUUUAAGAGGAAUGAAGUUUCCACUGUCGUUUAAAACAAGCAUUCAGGUAAAGCUAACAGGAUCAUGAAGCAGAAAGUAAAGUAAUGCUAAAACAAAUGCUAAUAAUUUAGUGUAAUGUACAAAAAUUACUUAAGUACGUCUUAAGAAUAAGGAUAAAUUGUAUUUACAUAAUUAUA